GCGGUGAUCUGCUCCAAACCCCACCCUCCGUGGGUCUCCAGGUACAGCUUGUUCACCACGGGGAGCACCUUCUCCGAGAUGUUGAGUUGGACGCCGCCAGUCUGUGCAAGACCUGGGAGCCAGCACAACCGAGGCUUGCAUCCCACUUAUGCCACCAAAUAGCAUUUGGGAGAUUAUUUUGGAAGCAAAGCUCACCAAAUUUGCUGUGGACUGGAAACUCAGGAGUAGGCUCCUUACCUCCAGGAAGCUUCUGGAUCUGAACUGCAGGGUUGUGAGGGCCUCAUCUGCCCAGCCGUAGAAGAUGGAUAAUGACGUAGGUGGUGUUUCUCACCUCGGGUUUUAUAACUCCCAGGGGAGCUUUAAACAAUGUAUUGCUACCCGGGCCCCCUUCCAUAUGUUCUGAAUCAAUUGUGAAGGCUUUUGGUUUUCCUGUUUCUUUUAA